GAACAUUCUACAAAAACAGCUGACCUAUACUCACCAAAAUGCCAAGGUCAUGACAGGCAAGCAAAGAUUGAAGAAAGCUUCCAGAUUAAAGAAGACUGAGGAAACUCAACAGCCAAAUGCUCUCAGCCUCCUGUGUGCAAGCAGAGUUGCUAUGGUGCCAUCGCUUAUACUUGCAUCUGACACUUCUACGUUAGAGACCACCAAUCAAAAUCCUCAGUGGGCUUACGAGCAGAAUCCAGACCCAUCUCAGCCCCCAUCCCCUCCCACCUACCAUCUGGAUCUCCCUGCAGUGAUGGGAGCAGCAGGAGAAAGCAGAAAGAAACAUCUCCCCGCCCCCACCCCCUCCACCAUUAACUGCUGCAACCACCAGAAGCAGGAUCUAGAAAAAGAAGCCCCGAAGUCAUGAUUUUCCUCCAUUUUCCGCACCUUGCUGACCUGACAAGAACUUUAAGAGAUCCUGGAAGCCAGCUGCCAUGCUGUGAACUGCUCUAUGGAGAGCCUCAUGUGGAAAGGAACUGAUGUCUCCAGCCAACAGCCACAUGAAUGAAUUUAGAAGUGGAUCUUCCAUCAUUUGAGACUUGAGAUGACAGCAGUCCCAGACAAGCCCUUAACUGCAGACUUGUGAGAGGCCCUGAGCCAGAGAGAGUUGCCAUGAAUAUUUAAGCUUCAAAUUUUGAAGUAACGCAUUGAAGGACUCAGCAGAUGCACAAGUAUCAGUUUUUCACUCAGUGGAGACAGCCGUCCACAAUUGCAGUUUCACCUCCAGUUUGACUGAGCAUUUCACCCAGCUUUGAUCAUCUGCGGUCAGGAAGGAAUUCGCUUCUCCUUUGGAUCUCUCCCGGAGGAGAGAAAACAAUAAACUUCCCACCAGCUUUCAAGCCAAGGAUUUCUCAUUAGCCACAGCUUCAGGCCGUUCGUUCUUGGCCCACACCCAGGAUGCCUCUGGAUACAUCAGGCUAAAGCCUUGUUCUCUCUUCACCUCCAAGAUUGCUGGAUCACUGGGCUGUGAGCUGC
rnacentral:lncRNA from 1 species